CCUAACCCGUCGCCAUUAAAGGAGUGUUUCCGCCUCAUCCACAUCUCCACCUCUAUACACAAUAUAAGAUGGAGCUUGUUGUGGCAUACAUUUUCAAUCGCAGACUGUGCAGAGAAAGGAGAUAUCGGGACCCACUCGACCCACUACAUGUCAGUGAUGAACACCUGUUGCAGAUGUAUAGAUUUCCCCAUCAGGAAAUCAUCAGGCUCUGUGAUGAGUUACGCCCCCACCUGGAAAGGAGAACCAGGAGGGCACAUGCACUCCCAACACACACCCAGGUUCUGGCUACACUAAGGUUUUUGCGAGUGGCAGCUUUCAAGGUGUUAUUGGAAACGGUGUUGGAAAUGACCAAUCAAGGGCCAUUGAUAAAGUAACUCGGGUACUUUGUGAAAAGGCCAGUCAUGAGAUAAAGAUGUCAACCACAGCAAUAGAUAUUAAUAGAAUUUUUAAGAUAGUUUUCAUGCAUUUCAUAAUGAUAAAUAAUGGAUUAAUGAAUUUUCAACUUCACAGGAGACACUGCAUAUCCUCUGGAGCCAUUCCUGAUGACCCCAGUUGCACGCCCGACAACACCUGGGGAGGAACGAUACAAUAAGUCAUCACAGGACAAGAUGCGUUGUUGAACGGACCUUUGGGAUCCUCAAGUCAAGGUGCAGGUGCCUACAUAAGUCAGGAGGAAGUUUGCAGUAUGACCCCAAGACUAUGAAGAUUGCGACUUCUUGUAUGCUCCUGCACAACGACUGAGUGGAUCGCUGCAGAAGAAGUACCAGUUCAGCCUGUAAGAAACAACAGACUGAUUCCUGGUCAAGUUGUCAGGCAGGAAAUUAUUUGAAACUUCUUUUCCCGAGUAUAGAUUGCGUAUGGUGCACCGGUGGCCGAGUGGUCAGCGUGUGUACGUGGUGAUCCAGAGGACUCGACUCCCACUGCAAGACGCUGAGAGUUUUCAACCAUUGACAAGUGGUGGAGGGUUACCAACAUGCUGCCCAGCAGAUCUUCAGUCAACCCUAACUUCAGCGUCUUUGAUCGAGAGGGGCACCAUCUCCACACCACACAUUCUUGUCACCUAGUAUGAUACCCUACUUGUCCAUCUCACAUGCCCCAUGUAUCUCAGCAUUCUGCACUCUUGGCUCCAUGUCAUCCUCUCCAACUUGUUGCUUCGUAUAGCAUAACCGGCCUCACAUACAUAGAAGUGUUCAAUAUACCUAGGCUAUAAUAUUAUAUUUAAGGACUCUUAUACAAGGUAUCGUCCCAUACAGAGGUGUCGAAGUAAGUCUGUCUGAUGGUAGGCAGGCUGACUGCUGUCGGGACCCAAGCCAGCAUGCCCUGGGGGUUGUGUGCGGGAGGAGGAAAGAGGGAAAAGGACAAAUGGUGUGUGUGUCAUUAUCAGGGGUAACCACGGUGGAGUGCAAACACUCAGUAGUUGUAGUCAAGGCUUAAUUAAGUUGAUGAGUGGUGUUAGACUGAAUGAGCAGGUUUUGUACCACAUGUUAACGGGAACACUUGAUAGGUUUUCUUCGUGUGUUGGUGCUACUUGUUUCUUGUGUUUACAUGUUAGUUUAUAAUUAGACUAAGUUCUAAGUGUUAUGAGCGGCAAUUUAGUCUUGUAUGGCUGAAUCCUGUCCCUUGACCCUUAAUUCAUCAUCAGAAUCUCUAAACAAAUAUAUUUACCUUAAGUAAUAUUCUUAAAGUCACGCUACCCAUAUUAUUUGGCAGAUGAUAAUCCUGUGUGCGAUAACGGUGCCUUAUAAGACUUGGUAAAUAAACUACUAAUUUUACUUUCUGGUUUAAGUGAUCAACAAUUAAUUCUACUUUGAGGUAUAAUUAACCAACAUUAUUAAGGAGUGCCCAUGCCAGGCACGACAUUAAGAAUAUUUUUCUGUUGACCAGCAGACUUACUAUAGUCAAACCAUUUCAAAAUGUCUGUUGAGGCAGUGGCUUCUGCAGGUCCUUUCCUCCCUUCUGCUUUGCCACACAGUUCCAAUUACCUAUUUCCUCUGUUUCCUGUCCCCUCUUUCACAAACUGGGCACCUAUAAUGCACCCCUACUUGAUUAACAUUUCUCAGCCCUGAGCAUCUCUUUGUGGCACCACUUAUCACCCCCUGUGCACAGGGCAGAGUUAGUAGCCAUUUCUCUUCCACACCAACUACCUUCCUGUAUAUAUGAUUUCUCAAUAAUUACUUAUUUGUUGUGCUGUAUUAGCUGUUACAUUCUACAUCAAGCUGUAAUAUCUACCCAAGCUGCAGGUUAAUCCAAUAAAAAAAAAAAGUGAAUGACUAAGUCAUGUGUU